AAGAGGAAGAAGCAGCUCCGGCAGUCGGCAGCAGCAGCAGCAGCAGCAGUCCCCCUUGAUCACGGUCUUCCUCGGCCAGAGCUGGUGAAACUUGUCACCGUCAACUUUGCCUCUAGACUGGACUCGGCUUGGGCUCAGAAAGGUCUUUUAAAAAAGUGGAGCCACUCCGAGACUGGACUUAAAUCAGGUACUGGUCCUCCCACAGACAUCAUCUGCCUUAUAGCCAUGUUGUAAUGUCAUUUUCCUAUGUUUUUGGUGCAAUCCUUUUUUUUUUUUCUAAACUCAAUUUUAUCCUGUAUUUGCUCUGACUAAUCAAAUAAAA